GAAGAAGAGUUGUAGACAGGCUUAUCUAAGUGAGGCGAAUUAUCGGUAUAUUUGGUGGGUGAUUUCUGGUCUAUGGGAGUACCUGAUAGUUCACUGCUGGAUUUGAUAGAGAAGGUUAGGACUUGGAUAUCGUGGGGUAUGAGUGAUCCAACUUCAUUGGCGGGCGGACGCGAUAUGGAUGUUGACAGUUGCAAAACCUGUUAUGAAUGCAAGAUGAAUGGCGGACGCGAUAUGGAUGUUAACAGUUGCAAAACCUGUUAUGAAUGCAAGAUGAAGUUUACUGAUUCUUGCCUCAAGUUCCAUUGCUUAAGAUGCAGUCGAGUAUUCUGCAAUGAUUGUGUGGGCAUUUUUGGCUCUUCGGAUGUUGUUGCAUCUGGAUCAGGAGAAUCAGAAAGCUUGG
rnacentral:lncRNA from 1 species